UGGGGAAUAUUGGACAAUGGGCGCAAGCCUGAUCCAGCCAUGCCGCGUGAGUGAUGAAGGCCCUAGGGUUGUAAAGCUCUUUCAGCGAGGAGGAUAAUGACGUUACUCGCAGAAGAAGCCCCGGCUAACUUCGUGCCAGCAGCCGCGGUAAUACGAAGGGGGCUAGCGUUGUUCGGAAUCACUGGGCGUAAAGCGCACGUAGGCGGACUUUUAAGUCAGGGGUGAAAUCCCGGGGCUCAACCUCGGAACUGCCUUUGAUACUGGAAGUCUGGAGUCCGAGAGAGGUGAGUGGAACUCCGAGUGUAGAGGUGAAAUUCGUAGAUAUUCGGAAGAAACACCAGUGGCGAAAGGCGGCUCACUGGCUCGGUACUGACGCCGAGGUGCGAAAAGCGUGGGGAGCAAACAGGAUUAGAUACCCUGGUAGUCCACGCCGUAAACGAUGGAAGCUAGCCGUCAGGGUGCAUGCAUCUUGGUGGCGCAGUUAACGCAUUAAGCUUCCCGCCUGGGGAGUACGGUCGCAAGAUUAAAACUCAAAGGAAUUGACGGGGUCAUAGCUG
rnacentral:rRNA from 1 species